rnacentral:lncRNA from 1 species
AACUUUCUAAAUAAAACUUAAAUUUUAGGUUCUAAACUUACCUUAACUUGCUCCAACCCUUGGGGCGAAUAUAAGUUAAAACUCAAAACUUAUUUCAGUGCCAAAUUUAACCCAGGAUUUCCUCAUGAUUAGUGGGGCUGGUCCACCAUAUAUGUAUAUAUUUUUUAGUUUAUAUUUAUAAAUUCAUUGAAUUCAACGGUUAAGAUCUAAUUUGAUAAAAUCCAAAGGCUAACGUAAAUUAAAAAGAAAUUCUUUUAUGUGUUUCAUAUUUUUUUUCAUACUAUUUCACAAGUUUCAUGGUGUCGGUUAGUGAUUUUUCAAUAUUUGUCGGAAUCUAAAUAUUUUUAGGUUAAAAUGUUCAUAAAGUUAAAUUAGGAUACUCUACAUAAUUUUUUCUUUUCAAAAAGUUACUUCAAGAAACAAUUAGCUUAAAUUCAUUCUUUAAUAAUAUGGAGCUAAAAUUUUAACCUAGAAGAGUUAGAGCAAAAAAGUUGUUUUUAGGUUAAAAGGUAAAUUUUCUGAACUAAAAAUUUUAGAUUUUAACCCAAAUGUUGAAGAUGGUCUUAGGGGUGGGUAUAUGCACAAAAAGUUUCAAACGUCCAGGGAGGACAAAAGUUGAAAAUUUGGGGAGGCAAGGAUUAGUCACUUUCACAUACUUAAAAAAUAUUUGAUAGUUAAUAAUGCUACUACUUUAAAAUUUUCUUUUAAAUAUGCUUUAAUUAAAAGAAAAAUUGGUCCAAAUACAUUUGGUAAGGCAUCUUUUAAUAAAAUAUACGCACAAAAGACGACCGAGAAAAAAUAACUAGAGAUUAGACAAAAAAAAAAAACAUAAAAAAUAUAAAGACGAAAUUGUUCAAGCACUUUCCUUGCACAAACCAUGUGCGUUCAAAAUGGAAGAAAAUGUUAAUAUAUCUCUAGUUGAGGACUUAAAGAAAGAAAGGUGAAAUUAAGAAUGAAUGCAGCUCCUCCUGAAGCGAGGAAGUUUCCCAGUGCUAGGGGAGGACAGAGUCAGCCGGUUCCUUCCACUCUAUCUCUAUCCAACGAUGAAAAGUAUACUGUAUACAUGAUUUUUUUAAAUGAGUUUUAACGAAACACUUUUGGUAUUGUUCACUUUUAAUGAAAAAUGACAUUUUACCUUUCUUGUUACUAUUCACUUACACAUUUAUUUGUUAUUUUUCAUUAAAACUAAAAGUUUAUGAAGACUUUUCGUUAGUUUUCUUUUUUUUUAAAGCGGAUCACAUACACUAUUUUAAAGCAAGCUAUUUCUCAUUAAUUGACGUAUUUACACGUUUUAUGUACAAAUUUUUUAACAUUUCUAGUUAGUGACCAAUUUCUUUCAAGAAAUUUCCGACUACUUUCAAUCAAGUACCUUUUUAUAAUUCCUAAAAAAUUAAAACAAGUCAGUUUCACACUACAAAAUCAUGUCCUUCACUAUUGGAGAUUGCUUAAGAUUUGGAAUCUAUUUUUCGAAGGCUAUUAGAAGGUCAUAAGAGAGCCCAAAGCUCAGCGUGAAAGCAAGCGAGAAAAAUUUGUGUGGAGGUGGCUAAUCAUGUUAUUUAUACGAGAAUAAUUUUAAUACCAAUAUAGCGGUGAUGACACGUACUUUAAAAUGUAUUUACUAUCAUUAUUAAAAAGAUUUUUUGCGUUUCUUAUAAAUAUAUGUAUAUAGGAAAGUAUAGGUUUAGCAUGAGACUUCCACGUGAGGUGCUUGUAAAUAGUUAGUCAUGCGGUUUGUAUCUAUCAGCUGAUCAAAAUUUACCAGCUUGCCACCCAAACCAACCAAUUAGAAACCAGCAGAAUAAGCCGCAGAAGACGAAGAAGAAAAUGUUAAUGAUCAGCAGCACAUGUACCACAGAGUCCAAUUCAUAGGGAUUGGCAAAAUACCAUGAAUUUGGGUAACCGCGGUUAUGGAUAUGGUUAAUCAUUUAUAAACAAUUAUGAGUAUAGAUAUAACUGUUUAUGCAAUUACCUAAUGGGUAAACGAUUAUACGGGUAUGAACAUAAAUGGUUAUAGGUAAAUAACCUAGCUUACCCGUCCGUCAUAACCGUUGCCUAUCUCUAAUUACGAUCGCGAUGAUGAUGAUGUUAAAAACUUGAAUGAACCCAAUCAACUCCAUCUCUCUGUCUUAGAUCAGGUAGCAGAAGGAGAAUCUUAACUACAAUUGCACCUAAGACUAGAUCAGAGUUUAGUCCUUAUUAGUGGGAGGUAUAUGCACAAAGUUUCAAACGUCCAGGGAGGACAAAAAUUGAAAAUUUGGAGAAACAAGGAUUAGUCACUUUCACAUACUUAAAAAAUAUUUGAUAAUUAAUAAUGCUACUCUUUAAAAUUUUCUUUUAAAUAUUCCUAAUUAAAAGAAAAAUUUGUCCACAGCAAUUUUUAUAAGGUAUCUUUCAAUAAAAUAUACUCACAAACCACGAUCCAGAAAAAUCACUAAAGAUUAGACCAAAAAAAAAACAUAAAAAAUAUAAAGACGAGAUUGCUCAAGCACUUUCCUUGCAGAAACCAUGUGCGUUCAGACGGAAGAAAAUGUUAUAAUAUAUGAUAUCUAGUUGAGGACUUAAAGAAAGAAAGGUGAAAUUAAGAAUGAAUGAAUGGAUGCAGCUCCUCCUCAUGCGUGGAAGUUUCCUGGUGCUAGUGGAGGACAGAGUCAGCCGACUCCUUCCACUCUACACAACAAAGCAAAGUAUAUUUUAUUUUUUAAAGCGGAUUACAUACACACCUUAAAAUCUUUCAAAAUUUUCAACGCAAAUUUAUAUUCAACAAUGUAUGUCAUACAUUGAUGUAUCUCAUAAUUUUUCCAAAUUAGCCAAUAUUCAACUUAGUGAAUAUGCAAUAAUCAAUUUCAAUGGUCAUAUUCUGGCAAGAGAAAAUUUUAUACAUAUAUUAUUAUCAAAAAGAGAAGGGACACAAUUAACAAUGCAUAGGACUCAUCUCUUAAAUUCUUUGGCGCACAUCUAUAUACAAUUGUUAAAUUCAACAAUGUGUCUCAUACAUUGAUGCACCUCAUAAUUUUAAUGAUCUACAACACAUUUGCAAGAGAGAAAUGAUACGCUCCAUCAAUCUAUCUCUGUUUAUGUCAAUACACUAACAAUGGACUUGUAGCUUGUAAGUAUAAAAAAAGAAAGGAAAAUACCCCAAAAUGAGACAAUUUCUUAAUAUUGGGACACAAAUAGGACAAACCGGUCAUGAACAAGUCAUGCACAAAACAGAAAUUACUAAAUACC